CCCGAGACUAGAGUCACAUCCUGACAUCUCUUGUCCUGGUGUGCUAGAGUUCUCGGAGAGAAUCUGCUGGUCUUGAUUCACUGGCAAGGGCAAUCAAUGCCCUUGUUAGUGCCCAGGUCAGAAACAUGA